CCUACGGGAGGCAGCAGUAGGGAAUAUUGCUCAAUGGGGGAAACCCUGAUGCAGCAACGCCGCGUGGAGGAUGAAGGUUUUCGGAUUGUAAACUCCUUUUAUUAGGGAAGAUAAUGACGGUAUCUAACGAAUAAGCACCGGCUAACUCCGUGCCAGCAGCCGCGGUAAUACGGAGGGUGCAAGCGUUACUCGGAAUCACUGGGCGUAAAGAGCGCGUAGGUGGGUUAGCACGUCAGAUGUGAAAGCCUAGGGCUUAACCAUAGAACUGCAUUUGAAACUGUUAUUCUGGAGUAUGGGAGAGGUAGGUGGAAUUCUUGGUGUAGGGGUAAAAUCCGUAGAUAUCAAGAGGAAUACUCAUUGCGAAGGCGGCCUGCUAGAACAUAACUGACGCUGAUGCGCGAAAGCGUGGGGAGCAAACAGGAUUAGAUACCCGAGUAGUC
rnacentral:rRNA from 1 species